rnacentral:rRNA from 1 species
ACGCUGGCGGCGUGCCUAAUUCAUGCAAGUCGAGCGAAUGGAUUAAGAGCUUGCUCUUAUGAAGUUAGCGGCGGACGGGUGAGUAACACGUGGGUAACCUGCCCAUAAGACUGGGAUAACUCCGGGAAACCGGGGCUAAUACCGGAUAACAUUUUGAACUGCAUGGUUCGAAAUUGAAAGGCGGCUUCGGCUGUCACUUAUGGAUGGACCCGCGUCGCAUUAGCUAGUUGGUGAGGUAACGGCUCACCAAGGCAACGAUGCGUAGCCGACCUGAGAGGGUGAUCGGCCACACUGGGACUGAGACACGGCCCAGACUCCUACGGGAGGCAGCAGUAGGGAAUCUUCCGCAAUGGACGAAAGUCUGACGGAGCAACGCCGCGUGAGUGAUGAAGGCUUUCGGGUCGUAAAACUCUGUUGUUAGGGAAGAACAAGUGCUAGUUGAAUAAGCUGGCACCUUGACGGUACCUAACCAGAAAGCCACGGCUAACUACGUGCCAGCAGCCGCGGUAAUACGUAGGUGGCAAGCGUUAUCCGGAAUUAUUGGGCGUAAAGCGCGCGCAGGUGGUUCUUAAGUCUGAUGUGAAAGCCCACGCUCAACCGUGGAGGGUCAUUGGAACUGGGAGACUUGAGUGCAGAAGAGAAAGUGGAUUCCAUGUGUAGCGGAGAAAUGCGUAGAGAUAU